UUUAACUCGGUGAUCAUUGGUCACUCGGCGCUCACUCCCGAAGGCUGCGGAGAUGAAACUAGCGGAAUCAUAACACCGAAGAAGGCCGUCUUCAGCAUCGCCGACACCGAGUUUUACAACUUCGAUACCAACAAGUGCACAGCGCUGUCAGGGUGCUCUCAGUGCAAAGUCUUCCAGGGAGGUUAUCAAGCACAGGUCAAAGGCCUCACCUUUGUAAACUCGCCUAACAAGCUGAAGUUCAAGUGGGAACAUGAAACAGUGUGGAUCGAUGCAGAUGGAUCACUGUCUGGGGCUGCUGAAAAUAAAGUUGUACCAGUCUCGGGUAUUCUGCCACCUGAAUGUACGAAAAGUGUCUCAGAUUUCUCUCUGAAUCCAGAGGUCCCCGGUGCCGUCUGCACCUCCUCUGUCGAGUUCGUCAGACUCAGCGUAAAGGGAACCAACGUGAAGCCGCAGUCCUUCCGAGGAGGCGAU